rnacentral:pre_miRNA from 1 species
CCUCUACAGGGAAGCGCUUUCUGUUGUCUGAAAGAAAGGAAAGUGCAUCCUUUUAGAGUGU